rnacentral:lncRNA from 1 species
GGCCGGAUAGGCAAACACCGCUUACAGCAUACGGGGAAGACACCACCCACGGCAGAGCGACGGGGCAGGAGCACUGCCCUCAGGGGAACACAAAGAAUUGGCGUCGGCGGCGCGGCGGCUCAGCUCUGCCCGGGGAAGGCAGCGCGGGCUGUAUGCCUCCCGCAUCCCGCCUGCCGUCCCGCCACAGCCGCUGCCUGGCCCUUCCCGCCCCACAGCCGCACGGCCGCCCCGCGCGGGGCCGCCCACGCCCACGGCCCGCCCCCGCCGGCUCCUGAGCGAGCACUUCCUGCCCACGCCCAGGGAGUCCGCAGCGCACACACACCCCUCCGCGCCCGAUGGUUCCUGCCCGGCCCCGGCGUUCCCCCCUCCCGGCCCCCGGGAGGAUGGUUCCUGCCCGGGCCCAUCAUCUCAGCCCUUCCCAACAGUCGCCUCCCUCCCCUCCGCGAAAAUACUCGGCCCACAAUAUGGCGGCUGACAAAACAGCUCCAGCGGCGCCUCCCCCAGAGCGCCGCGCUCCGCUUCCCCCCGCGCCGCCUCGCCCACGGCCGCUCGCCCUCCGCGCCGUCCCCCUGCGCCGGGCCCAGCCCCCGCUGCCCUUCCUCCCUUUCCCCCCCGCCUCCGGACCGACCGGCCGGCUCGGCCGCCACGCCGCCCGCCCGGCUUCACUCACGUUUUGGGAGCCGCGGAGCGCGGCUGACAGACCUCCCGCUCCGCCUCUGCGGCCGACGCUGCGGCCGGUCUAAUGGCGGCGGUCCCGCCGGCGCUGCUGCCGCCUGCUCCCGCGUCCGGCGGCCGCGGGCGGGCGAGCGGGCGCUGAAGGGGCCGCGCUGCCCGCGGCGGCGGGUACCCGGCGCUGGGUACGGGGCUGCUGCCGCCGCCGGGCACAGCGCAUUCGUGAGGCGCGGCGCAGGUCGCGGUCCGGCUGCGGGCUCGCCGCUCGGCUCCCCGGGCUCGGCAGCUCCCCUCCCCCCUCGGCACAAACAAUGCGGCUUCACCACAGCGCUGCGCCGACGGGGGGGGAGGGAGAGGGAAGGGACGUGA